UGGCUCAGAACGAACGCUGGCGGCAGGCCUAACACAUGCAAGUCGAACGCCGUAGCAAUACGGAGUGGCAGACGGGUGAGUAACACGUGGGAACGUACCUUUCGGUUCGGAAUAACUCAGGGAAACUUGAGCUAAUACCGGAUACGUGCGAGAGCAGAAAGAUUUAUCGCCGAAAGAUCGGCCCGCGUCCGAUUAGCUUGUUGGUGAGGUAACGGCUCACCAAGGCGACGAUCGGUAGCUGGUCUGAGAGGAUGAUCAGCCACACUGGGACUGAGACACGGCCCAGACUCCUACGGGAGGCAGCAGGUGGGGAAUAUUGGACAAUGGGCGCAAGCCUGAUCCAGCCAUGCCGCGUGAGUGAUGACGGCCUUAGGGUUGUAAAGCUCUUUCGCCAGGGACGAUAAUGACGGUACCUGGAUAAGAAGCCCCGGCUAACUUCGUG
rnacentral:rRNA from 1 species